GAGGCUCCCUCUUAGAGAGACCUCCUCGGAUAGGGUGUUGUCUGUAAUAGCCAAAAUCCUGUGGAAGACAGAGGAAGGAUAAGGAAGUGACAAGAAAACCAUGCAGUUCUGGGAAAAGACAUACCUAACAUAAACCCAUGAUACGAUGUUGUGGGACUGCCACGUCAUCCUUGACAAAAUUUUGAUUCUUGAAUAGUUGGGGAGGGGCUAAUUAUGGUGAUAUGGACUUUCACUUAUCCCCAACUUUUUGCCUUGUGAUGUAACCCUAAGAAAAAAAAUGAUUGUGUANNNNNNNNNNNNNNNNNNNNNNNNNNNNNNNNNNNNNNNNNNNNNNNNNNNNNNNNNNNNNNNNNNNNNNNNNNNNNNNNNNNNNNNNNNNNNNNNNNNNNNNNNNNNNNNNNNNNNNNNNNNNNNNNNNNNNNNNNNNNNNNNNNNNNNNNNNNNNNNNNNNNNNNNNNNNNNNNNNNNNNNNNNNNNNNNNNNNNNNNNNNNNNNNNNNNNNNNNNNNNNNNNNNNNNNNNNNNNNNNNNNNNNNNNNNNNNNNNNNNNNNNNNNNNNNNNNNNNNNNNNNNNNNNNNNNNNNNNNNNNNNNNNNNNNNNNNNNNNNNNNNNNNNNNNNNNNNNNNNNNNNNNNNNNNNNNNNNNNNNNNNNNNNNNNAAAUAGUGUAGUAGUAGUUACGUNUCUUCUUAUAGUAUAUAUAUAUAUAUAUAUAUAUAUAUAUAUAUAUAUAUAUAUAUAUAUAAAACACCUCAAAUUAUAGACAUGGUCCUACAUCGACAAAAUAUAAGAGAUGCUGGGUAUAACAAGUCCUAGACCCCAGUAACGCGUUUUAAACCCGUGAGCACAUAGAUUCAGAACGAACAAUAUCACUAGCGUGCUAGCUGUUACAGAUGGUAUCAGAGUCACUCUUGUGUCAGCCUUGUUGAUGGUGGCUCAGAGUUCAACUGAGUUUAGACAGUUCCGAUUAGGGAGGUCAAACCUCAGUGCCGAGUCUAGACAAAUCCCAUGCGAAGAGGCAAACCUUAGCAAGAACGAUGAGUGCAUGUAUGUUGAAUAACUUAACUCAUUAAUUUUAUAAAAAUAACAAAAUAAAUAUAAUUUAUUAUUUCUAUUGAAAUUUGAACACCACUCCAAUUUCAUUUACUUUGUCUCUUAAAAGCAGUUUAAUACUUUCACUUCUUUGUUUUCUUCUUUAAUUGACAUUUUGUUUCCAUAUUGAUAAUGUAGUGAAUCAAGCUUUAGCAACUCUAGCAUUUUUUGGAGUUGGAGUGAAUUUGGUGUUGUUCUUGACAAGAGUGCUGAAAGAAAACAAUGCUGAUGCUGCUAAUAGUGUUAGCAAAUGGACUGGCACAGUCUAUAUAUGCUCCCUUGUUGGUGCUUUUCUUAGUGACUCUUACUGGGGAAGAUUCAAAACAUGUGCCAUUUUUCAAGUCAUCUAUGUAACUGUAAGUAUCCCUUUAACUCCCAUUAUAAUUCUGAUGUUUAACUGGUUCAUUUGAACAUAGUAUUUUCGACACACAUAUAAUGAACCCAUAAUUUCAACCGUACAUAGGCGUCACUGUUAGGAACCUUAAAGGUUGAAGCUAUCAAGUUUAAAUUUAGAAUUCGCCUUUGAUUGUAAUAGUCCUUGAUCUUGCCCUUACUAAGUUUGGAACUUCAUUGAUAGGGAUUGGCAUUACUAGCACUAGCAUCACAACUCUACUUGCUCAAACCUAAAGGUUGUGGAGAUCGAACGACUCUAUGUGGAGAACAUUCAACCAUGGGAGUUGGUCUAUUCUACAUCUCUGUCUACAUGAUUGCACUAGGAUAUGGAGGUUAUCAGCCCAAUAUUGCUACCUUUGGGGCUGAUCAGUUUGACGAGCAGCAUCCGAGGGAGUCUCAAUCUAAAGUUGCCUUCUUCAGCUAUUUCUACUUGUUCAUGAAUCUCGGAUCGCUCUUCUCCAACACCAUUUUGGACUACUUUGAAGAUGAAGGAAUGUGGGCUCUUGGUUUUUGGGCAUCUGCAGCAUCUGCUUUUGCAGCAUUAAUGCUCUUUCUUGGAGGCACUGCUAGGUACAGACACUUCAAAUCUAGUGGCAACCCUCUUGCCCGGUUUGCUCAAGUUUUAGUUGCAGCAACAAAGAAGAGUAGAUUAGAGACACCAGAAAAUGAAGAUGACUUCUACCAAGGGGAAGACGACGACGACAACACAACUGGUGGUAGAAAAAUGCUACACACCCACGGUUUCAAGUAAGCAGAAAUACACUUACGUGUUCAAUCCACUAUGUCUACAAAUAUCUCAAAUUUAUGACCUGACUCUGCCAUUCGUUUAUCAUUGAUGACUAGUCUAUUUGCCAUUCUAUAAUGCACUAAACUAGAUUUUUCAUGUUGCAGAUUCUUGGACAGAGCAGCUGUGGUGACAUCAAGGGAACUUGACAACCAGAAGCAGGGCGAUCACAACCCAUGGCACCUCUGUCCUAUUUCACAAGUUGAGGAGGUUAAAUGCAUUUUGAGACUGCUGCCAAUUUGGCUAUGUACCAUUAUCUACUCUGUAGUUUUCACGCAAAUGGCCUCGCUGUUUGUCGAGCAAGGCGAUGCCAUGAAAACUACAAUAGCAAACUUCAGGAUUCCAGCAGCAAGCAUGUCUACCUUUGACAUCCUUAGUGUAGCAGGCGUCAUAUUUCUAAACCGCAGAGUUCUUAAUCCACUAGUCAGUAGGUUUAAGAAGUGCAAGGGUGAUAACACCGGGCUAACUGAACUUCAAAGGAUGGGUAUUGGACUAGUCAUAGCAGUAAUGGCUAUGCUUUCAGCAGGAAUUGUGGAGUGCUUCAGGCUAAAGUACGCGAGCAAUGACUGCAAACAUUGUGAAGGCUCAAGCUCUCUUAAUAUCUUCUGGCAAGUCCCUCAAUAUGCUUUUAUAGGAGCUUCGGAAGUAUUCAUGUAUGUAGGCCAAUUGGAAUUCUUCAAUGCACAAGCACCCGAUGGACUUAAAAGCUUUGGAAGUGCACUAUGCAUGACAUCGAUAUCAUUAGGGAACUACGUGAGUAGCUUCCUUGUGAGCAUAGUGAUGAAAAUAUCAGCAACAGACAACAUGCCGGGAUGGAUACCAGGAAACCUUAACAAGGGUCAUUUAGACAGAUUCUAUUUUCUAUUAGCUGGUUUGACAUUAAUAGAUUUGGUAGCUUAUAUUGCAUGUGCUAAGUGGUACAAGAAUAUUAAGCAUAGCGAAAAGAUUCAGGAACACGAGGAAGUUGACAAGUGUGAAGUCUAAUGUACCUGAUAAUGAUCAUACCUUAGGCAUGUUUUGCCAGAGCCAUAUGAAUAAGAGGAAGAUGUGCAAUCUCCACAACAUUUUGGACAGAGUCUCUGCUUUUGGUAUUUGGAUUUCCUCCAUCUCCAGUGUUCCAACCCAAUCGGCUCAAAAUCCCCAGCUCUGCAGAAUUGUCCAGAGAGUUGGGCUGCUCUUAAUUUCUCGGUCCUUCUUUUCUCAUUGUUGCUGCUGCAUUUGUUGGUUCCGUCAUAGUAGUUCUUGAUUUAACGAACAUUUUGGAUUGAUAUGUAAAUGGAUUGGCUUUUCCUGUAUCCAAGAAACUGUUGAACACUACUCAUGUACCCUUAGAAAAUUCCCAUGUCCAAAAAGAUCUCAUUAAUUUCAUAUGCAAUUUAGAGCUAGAAGAGACAGUCUCCAUCUUAAUAAACAACUUGCAUUGAUAUGUUUGAGUAAAAAAAGGGCAGUCUGUGCACAAGGCAUCCCCUGUUCACACAGGUUCCGUGGAAGAGCCGCACCCCAAGGGGUGUGGUGUAGACAACCUAUCCUAAUGCAAGCAUUAGUGGCUGCUUCGGCGGCUCGAGACAACUUUACCGUUGCUCCCCUUCUAUGUUUUGAGUAAGAUGGACACAAAUAAAAAAUCUGUAAGUUUGAGUUUCCGAAAGCAUGGAGCAAGAGUUAUUAGAAACCUCAAGAGUUUCUCUUCAGUGGAAGCAUUUUCCUCGAAAAAUAAGUUCCACAAAGAACAUGAAAUCAUUUACUAGUAGCAAAAUAUAACUAUCCGAAGAGGAUUCAGGUUAUAAAAAGAAAGGCAUGUUCUUGGAAAAAGAAACACAACACUAUAAACUACACCAAAAAACCUUUAUAUUGUUUUGCCUUAUCUGUGAUAAUGAUGUAUUCAUUUCUGAGGUCUAGUAAACCAAGAAAAUCCAGACAAAACUGAGAUGAUAGUACACCAUCAGAAUUACAAGUACUAUUGUGCAUAAGUUGGGGUCGGCUAUAAGAAUCCUCACUCAUCAAGUUACUCAAUUUGAAUUCUUCUCGUGCCAAUAUUAUGCAAAUACAAAUAUAUUUAUUCACUUUUCUCUAUUACUCAUUUCAUGCCAAUUUAAACUAACAUAUAAUAAAGUUCACACCUUUCCCGAUCUAUUAUCACGCUCUUCGUGUGCCAAAAACUCAAACUUCUACAAAUGCGCUGAACCUCACUGGAUAUAUCAAUAGCAUUCUCUAAUGCAGAGCAGAGCAUGCAAACACCGAUAUACAACUUGGACAGGAAUGAUACAGAGAAGGCGCCAAUGAAGGAGGUACUGGUUCAUCCGAAUCCAAUAGCUUUGGCUUAGACUUUGUAUAUACAAAUAAUAGAUUUAAAAACUAGUAAAAAUUAAACAGGAUGUAGUAGAAUUGUAAAGCAUAACCUACAACUUUAAAUUCUUGAUCUGCCUCUUGCACGAAACUUAGAAAGACCUCACUUGUGUAGUAGGAUAAUAUAUGAACGAUAAGCAUGAAAUAUAUUCCUUUGUCCCAAAAGUUUUGGCCUUUUUAUUUUUGCCUUUCCUAGAUUCAAAGUAGGUAAAAUUUAACCAAAAAUUAUAAAAUGUAGUUUCCGCACCAAAUUGAUAAGGAGGAAUGCAACUUAUACUACUUUUUUUUUUUUACAAGGUAGGAAAUCGAACUCUCACGAACAAGGUGAAAAUUAAGUUAGACAACUAACUGAACUAGUAAAAUUAUCCUAACUUAUACUACUUUUAACCUCAAUAAAAUGUAUUUACUUACGCUGACUUGGCCUGAAAGUUAAUCAAAUUGACUCUUAAUAAAUGAAAAAAAAGCCAAAUAAGUGAGAAGACGAUAGUAGUUGAUAAUAAAGCAACUUACUGAUGUUACAGGUCUGUUGAGCAUAUUAUUUUUAUUAUUAUGAAACUUUUACCAAUUUAUGCUACACUAUAAUUAGCAUCAAUUAGCUCGGGGAAUUUAAUUUAAUGGCCGUGAUUUGAUUCCAAGAAACUCGGUUCAAACCCAGUAAUCAUUCAUUAACUGGUACUAAUUGGUCCAACCCAAUAAUCUCCAACCCAAUAAUCCUUUGUUUCCUAUUUCUUUCAUGUAUAUUUGGCUCACUAUCUACUUUUGUAAUAUAACUUGUGUCUACUGCUGUCCAAUUUCAUUUUUGUUUUACACACAUACGAUUUCUUGCCUUGAAAAUUACCCAAGCUGGUAAUUGUGUAUAGGAUUUAUAAAUCUAAAAAAAUCGUAGCCUCAUUCUAUAAAGUUUAGCAAGUUGCAACAUUACAUUAUUCCAACAGGGAAUCAACAAACAAUAAAAAGCAAAUAAAUUGUUUUGCAAACUCGCGUAUAUAUUUUCUUUUAUGUGGAACCAUCGGUUCCAUUUUAUUGUUGGUUGCUCAAGAUUCUAUCAUUCUAUAUAUCCAAUUUCUGUUGUUAAUAAGUGUGUGCAUCUUAUCCUCUUUUGAUUAGAAAAGUUUUCGAAUUUUUUCUAGGAGCUGAAAGUCUAGCCCCGUGUAUAUAAAUAUAUAUAUAUAGACGUUGAUGUCGGGACAGCUUGCGCCUCGACUAUAUUACCAGAUACUUGCUACCUUCCCACCAGCACAAGUAUUGAGUAACUCUAUCAACCAAGACUCAAAUACUGAAUGGUUAAACCAGAAAAAUGAAUGGUUACUUAGAAAUCAUCCGUGAUUAAAAAAGCGCUCGCUUCCUCGCUUUAAGCGAGAAGCGAUGCGAAGCGACUCAGGUAUAAAAAAGCGACCGCUUCCCACUAAAAAGCGAGAAGCAACCAAGCGAUGCGAUGCGAAGGGAGCGACCACUUCUUUGUUUUUAAAGAGACCCAGGCUAUUUAAUUAAAAACGAAGUUGUUCUGUCUUUUAUUAAACGAACAAUAACAACUAGGGUUUUAAAGCAGAGCAUCUGAGAGCAUUAGACUAGGGUUUUUCUUCUUCAACUUCAACUUCAACUUCAAGUUUUCAACAGCAACAAGUAUGUUCUGAUUUUCUCUUUUUCUUUCACUAUUUCAACGUCCAAAUAGCAGCGAAAUGUUGGCGAAAUUUUUUUUUACCUUCGGUUCUUUCUCAGAAUUGAUGCCAAUCCUUGGGUUCUUCUUUCUCUGCCCAGUUUUUAACAGAGAAAAACUGCCCUUCCUCUAAUUUUUAUAUCCUUUACAUUGAAGUAUUGAACAUUUGCUUACAAUUACAUGUGUUGUCUAUGUAGUAUUUAUUUUAAUUUUUUUUAAAAUUCCAUUUCACUUCAAAAAAGCGAGCGCUUCGCUUCUCGCUUUAAGCGAAAUGAGGGUUGACGUUUUUCCUCGCUUCACGCUCUUCACAACACUGAAAAUCAUAAACAAUCCAAAGGUAAAUUUUCUUAAAAACUUUCACGAGUAUUUUAUCAAAAGGUAAUAUAAGCAUACAACUUCUUUUUUUAUUUUCAUCUACAUGAAAAAAACUAUACUGUUUUCAAUUAAUUAUUUUCCAAAUCCAAACGCCAGAGAUAAUUAUAAGAAGAAAUUAAGCAAGAAGCGGAUUAAUAAUAUUCUGGAAAAGGAAGAUUUAGCAUGCAACUGAUGGUUGGCAGAAGGCAUCAGUAUAUAUUCCUUUGCUUGGGUGUAAUAUUUUUUCUAAAGCAGGAGAAGAACAGUAAUAAAAAUAGAAAAAAGGGGGAAAAGAGAAAAAAUAUUCUUUGUAUUGGCUUGAGUAAUAACAUGGAAUAGUAGUGUUUGCCUAAAAUAGGUACAUUAAGCUAAAUUUACGAAUAAGGAAGAAUAAAAUUGGUUUAGCAUAUUAGAAUGUAGGGAUUUUCAUCUCAAGCUGUGGCAUCAAUAACUUUGGCAAAAUAAAUACAUUUUGCUAAAAAUAUGAUACUUCUUAAUUAGAAGAUAGAGUUUCAUGUUGCAGAACAAAGUUAUCCCAAUGUCAUCUAAUGAAAUUCGAUCAUUUUGCUGUUAAAUGUGUGAUUAUCUCAUCUAAAAGUUAAAGCGAUCAGAGAAAGCACACUUAUAUUUACUUAAUUAUAUCUUCAACACACUCGCUCCUUGUGCGGAUUUAAUUUAAUUAUUUUCAUGAGCGAAGCAUGUGAAAAUUCUUUUUUAAGACUCAACUCUGAAACCUUUGGUUACUCUAAUACAAUAUUGAAUUGUGUGAUCAUAUCAUCUAAAAAUUCAACACAUUUUUUGGAAUCUUAUAAGUCUUAUAAUUUCUCAUGAUCAAUUAAAGCAAGUAAAAGGCGACCGAUGCACAAGACAUCCCGCGUUCAUAAGAGAUAAUGCUAAUACGCUGGGUCCGAAAAAAGACCGCAACCCAAGAGAUAUGAUGCAGAUAGGUUAUGCUAAUGCAAAUACUAAUUGCUGCUUUCACGGCUCGAUCUCGUAUCAACUAAAGCAAGUAACGUUAAUAAAGUGUCAAAGUUUGUCCAAGGUCUCCAAAUCAUCAUUUAGCAUAGCUUCACAAUAAUCACCAUUUGAUGUGUCAAAUCAACUGAACCAAUUUGACAGACAAGAAAGGCAUUGAAAUGAAGGAUAUUGAAAUAUUAUAUGGGACCCUCAAUAUUAGGUAAUUUGAUGUGUUAAAUCAUUUAAAUCACAAUACACAAACAAAAAGUAGUCCUAUGCUUACGUCCAAAACAUCAUGUUAAAAAUUCGGUUCUAUGCCUAUUCUUUCUUUUUUCCUUCUAAUUUUGUUAUCCUUUUAGUCUCUACCAUCCACUUAACUCUCUCAAAAUUCUAUAUAUACUUUCACUCACUUACAUGUACUAGCAACCUCUUAACUUAAAUAGUUUUGAGAAUACUCAUUUCUCCCCUUUCCCUUCGUUUUCUUCAAAUCUUUAAUUCAAGCAAUUACCUUUGAGUCACUAAUAAUGGCAUGCUUGAAACUCUCCAAAGAAGUUAGUACUCACCAUCUUUUUUUUUUCUUGAUAUAUUUUUAGAAAGAUUGUUAGUUGUAUACUAUAAGUUUGAGUCUUAUAUCUUAUUCGCGAGAAUUUCUAUUUUCCGAUAUUGUUUGUUCUUUAAAUGGCUAAACACACCUAUCUCACAAAUAGAGCCCAAAAAAAGAUCAUUUGUUCUUUCUACUUCUUAGUGCCUACCACUUACCAAUCUUUGGUUCUUUUCUUGAAGACAGAAGGGUAAAUGAAGUGCAUAUCCAUUUCUUCUAUGCAAAUGUUUUCUCAUGCAAAGAACUGUAUAUAAAUAUAAAUUUAACUUAUAUACACUGUCCGUAUAAAUAAUAUUUACUUUAUUACAUUUUAAUAUAUUAUAGUACGUAACUUACUUUAUUUUUCAGGUUACUAGCUAAUGUCACUUUUAUAGAAAGUUAUUCGUGUUAUUUUUUAAGGGACUUUACGGUACAAAAAUUGUCAAUAUGUAAAAGUUAAACUUAAUUAAUAUAAAUAAAUGAUCUAACACUUCAUUAGAGUUCACUAAAUUUACUAUAUAUUUUUUUCUUUUGUCUUUUAGGUGAAAAUGAUGAAAGGGGAAGNNNNNNNNNNNNNNNNNNNNNNNNNCCCCACACACACACACACAGAAAUUAAUCAUAUAUUAAAAGUCUUAUAAUUUAUCUCUGAAAAAAGAAAAGGACAUAAAAUUAUGAUAUCUGCAUCUGCUUAUCUCUCUUUUGAGUUAUAUCCAGAUUAAGAGUAUUAUUAUUAUUUAUGAUAAGUCACAGUUUUUAUACAUGGUAUAUACUGUUAGAAUCUACAUCAAUUAAGUGAAUGGGUCAUAAUCUGCCUAUAUAGUUUGAAUAACUUCACCACGAGUGAAGUACACGAACAAUCUUUGGUUUGUUAUUUAGGAAUUAGUCAAUACUUAUUUUAUUCUGAAAAUUUGAAAUAAAAAUCUUAAUUUUGGAAUAAUUCAGAACAUUUAUAUUAUAAAAAUUUAAACUGAAAAAUUAAAAUUCAGAACACAUUGACUAAUUCCUAAAUAUCAGCCCUUUAGAGUAACUACCUGGAGAUAUUUCUACCUUCACCACGUAGAUAUUCGACUAUCCAAUAUAGAGAUAUUCGGGUUAUAUUAUUCUAGGUUCAAGAUAUUCAGUCAUGAGAAUAAAUGUCAGAAUCUUAUGGUAUAAACUACAUCGUUUCAGAUUAUCCUAAUUAAUUCUCAUUUAAUUCUUUGUAAUGGAAAAACAAAUAAAAGAAAGGUUGAUAAUGGUGGAAUAAGGUGAGGUAAUAAACGAAGCCACAUAUCAUUUGUUGGGAAGCUAGAAACUGACAAGAGUGUUAAAAGGCCAAAGCCUAACACUUUUCAGAAUAACAAAGCCGUGUGUCAAAAAAUUCGAGAGCUAUUGAUUUGGCCUAUUUGAUAGCUUUCACAUAUAUACAGGUACAAGGUCUUUAUCAUAUAAAGAACCUAGUGGAAUGUAUGAGAUUCUUUCAUUUAUAAUUAAGGGUUACAAGUUUAAAUACUGAAAAUGAUUUUUUUUUAAAUAAAAAGCAAUUUUUUCCUUUAACACACGGUAUGAAUUAGCUAAAUUUAUAGGUAACAAAUAUCAAAUGAUUGUACGAAAAUUUUCCAAAAAAUAUAAAUAGGUACAUUUGGCUCCUCCUAAUGGGUAGGGUUUUUGUCUAUAAUAGCAAAUUUUUUGUGGAAGACGAGGAGGGAUAAAGAAGUGACGAGAAAAGCAUGCACUAUUGGGAAAAGACAUCUUUGACACAUACCUAGGAAAUGAAGUGGUGGGGUUACCACGUCAUCCUUGACAAACUCUGAUACUUGGUGGGUGGGUGGGUGGGGCAAUUAUGUGAUCUGGACAAUCAAUUAUCCCUAACUUUUUGCCUUCUCAUAUACUCUCCCCCGUCAAUAAAUGUUUUUGUUUUUUUUCACAUAUAUUAAAAAAUUCACCUUUUAACAUUAAUUAUCAAUGAAGUUGAUUAUAUUAACAUUUACUAUCUCUUCAUAUAAACACUUCUAACACAUACUCCUACAUUAUUUUACUCCAAGGGCAAUAUAGGAAAAAAAUAAUUAAUUCAUUCUUGAAAUCUUAAAAAAUCACUUAUUUUAGACCACAAAAAAAAAAGCCAAAAAAUCACUUAUUUUGAACCGGAAGGACUAUUUAUUUAUAGCCCGUUUGGCCAAGCUUUUUUUUGAGCUAAAGUGUUUUUUUGGUCAAAGAUUGAAGCUACUCAAAAGUGUUUUUCAAAUUAACUAGUCAAACACAAACUGCUUCUCACCAAAAAAAAAAUACUUUUGAGUCUGAGAAAAGCCCUUCUCAAAAUAAGCUAAUUUUAAAAGUUUGAUCAAACAGACUAUUUAUACAAUGUACUAGGAUGUAUAUACGACUCCUUUAGAUCAUAAGAUGAUAAAAAGUAAGAAAACGAUUUUUACAAUAUCAAUAAUUCGGACAGGUGAAUAGGAUAGGUUAUGAUGCUCCAUACUCAAAUAGUGGAGAUUUACUAAAAAGUAUUGCAUAAAACAUCAAGCAACUCUACUUACUAGAAUUAAAAUUAAUUUUCAUUGCGAUUCCACGACCUACUCUUUGGUGCUUUUUGUUUCUCUAAUAAAGGAAGCUCAAUACUUAGGCUUUUACAAAAAGAAUGACGGACAUGGAGUCCGAUCGUCAAGUCAUAUAUUUUUUUUUGUGAAUUUAGACGUUGAUUUCUUAAUAUUCUUGUAAUAAUAAGUAUUAUAAAUCAUAAUAUUUAUAGUUAAAAAAAAUAUUUUAAAAAUCGUAAUCAAAGAAAAUAUUAAUUGAUAGAAACAAGGGCAAAGUUAGUUUAUUGCUUACGGUUCAGCAUAACCUUUUAGCUUAGCAUUUUAUAUUUGUGUUAAAGAAUCCACUUAAUAUGUACAAAUAAUUUAUUAACUACUUAGUAAACCGCCCUUUUUAAACUCCAAAACCCAUAAACUCAAAAUUCUAGCUCUGACUCUAAAUAAAACUUAAUAGAAAAAGGGGACAGAUGAGGAUUUAUAUUCACCCACCAGAUAAGGGUGCUGAUGGGUGUGUGGUAGUCUGGUAGAGAUGGUGUAUUUACUUGCAAAACAAAAUUGCAAGAGUUUCGAAGAUAGUAUAGAGAAUUUGUUUCACGUCAUCUCCAACCCUUGCCUCCAUUUUCUCCUCCAAAAUGGAGUAAAGUUACUCCAACCAUUACUCUAUUCUUUGCUCCAAAAAAGAAUAUUCUAUUUUAUAUUCUUCUCUCUCUUCAACAUUAUUUUAUUAUCUUUUUGUUUAAAUUUUAUUUUCUUAUUCUAUUAAAGAAAUUCUAUCUUUUUUUUUUUUCCAUAUUCAUCACAUAUAAUUUAUAUUCCUUUCUUACAUUAUAAUAAAAUUCAGAUUAACUACUACAUAAAUAUUCAACUUCCACCUCUCUCUAUAUGCUCCCAUAAUUGAUCUAUUAAUGCAUUACGAAGUACAAUUUUAAUGUAUUUUCAAUUUUCACUUUUCAAUUUUAGCAACAUCUAAUAUUUUAUAUUCGCACCUUUCAAUUUUAGCAACAUUUAUAACUUGUUUGGCCAAGCUUCUCAAGAGGCCAAAAGUGCUUUUUUUCUCAAAAACACUUUUUUUUCCUAACUUGAGGUGUUUGGCCAAGCUUUUUUGGGGGAAAACAUAUUUUUGGGAAGAAGCAUAAACAGUUCCUGAGAAGCAGAAAAAAGUAAUUUCUUCCCAAAAGCAGAAGUAGAAACAGUUUUGACUUUUCUUCUUACCAAAAAUACCCUUAACAAAAUAUAGUAUAUACUAAAAUAACCGUUAAACCUAAUACUUAGGAUAUUAAUGUAUAAAUAUUUUUUAUUAUUUUUAGGAUAGCUUUCUAAUAUAUAGUGACUUUAGGGGUGAAUGCUUUUAUAUUUAUUGAAUGAUUUUUUAUAUAUUUAACUUAUAUUAAAAGAAUUAAAUACUUUUAAAUUUUAUUUUCAUAUUUUACUUAAAUAAAAUAAAAAGAUUUAAUUAUUGCCUGUAAUAAUAAAUUUUUAAGAUUAUUUAUUUACUUAUAAUAUUAACUAUUAAGUAAAUAUAUUCAUGUCCUUAUUCGUAACUUAAUACUUAAAAGCACUUUCUGAAAAAUUUGGCCAAACACAAAUUAUUGCUCAAAAGUAUUUUUCAGAGUGAUUAGCCAAACACAUAUUGCUUCUCUCAGAAAGUACUUUUUUCAAAAACACUUCUCAAAAUAAGCUGAUUUCUUCAGCUUGGCCAAACAAGCUAUUAAUAUUUUAUAUUUGCACCAUUCAUUUUUUGAGAUGAUUAUAUAUUUUUGUACAAUUAUAACUUAUAAUAAAUUAACUUACAAUUUUACAUAAAAAUAAUAAAUGCACGAAAAUUAAUUUAUCAAAAUUAUACGCCAAAGUUAAGAUAUAAAAUUAAUAUUAUAAAGAUAUUAUAUAAAUAUAAUUAGGUAUAUAUAAAGAGAUAAAUUAAAAGAAUUAAAUAAUAAAAAUAAUAAUAAAGUAAUAGGGAAUAGUAAUGGAGGAUGAAUAGUGUCACUCCAAAUACUAUUCACCCCCAUUUUGGCUAAGCCAAAUUUCUCCAAAAACUGACUGCAUUAUGACAAAAUGCAGCAGCGUUGGAGAUGGCCUCAACAUCGAGAAAUUGUCAUUUUGCAUUUAACUAGGAAUUCUUGGGUUCAUUCAAGAAAUAAUGAAGUGUCAAAUCUAACAGGUAACCUAUCAGUCCAACUUUAGAUAUUGAUUGCUUGCUAAAAGUUCACUUGACAAGCCAACCUUCUAGUCUAGCACAUGAUAAUAACCAAGAAAGCAAGUCCUAUCAUGGGGUGAUUGAUAUGAUAUAGUGGUUACUAUUUAGGUGUGGUCAGUUUCAUUAUGUCUUAAUUAAGAACUUCUAUUCCCACUCAAUUCCAGAAAUGGACUUAACGAUAAAGAAAAAGAAGAAAAUAAAAGCAGAACUCGUUGCGAAAAUAACAAAGGGUGUCUCCAUAAAUUGAUAUCUGAUGCAAUCAAUAAAGUUGAACUACGUAAAUACAUACUUUUGAAAAAGGAUAAAUUGACAAUCAAUUUUUCGAAUUGGGUUAGGCUUCUACUAAUGACCAUCAUUUCCUUAAGUGCACACUUAUCACAUAUGUUAAUCACUAUUUCAAGCCAGAAAAUUCAACUAUCAAUUUCACUACAACUUAAUUCUUUUGUUUAAUUGAUAUAUAGUUUUGGUUUCCAUAUUGAUUAUGUAGUGAAUCAAGCUUUAGCAACUCUAGCAUUUUUUGGAGUUGGAGUGAAUUUGGUGUUGUUCUUGACAAGAGUGCUGAAAGAAAACAAUGCUGAUGCUGCUAAUAGUGUUAGCAAAUGGACUGGCACAGUCUAUAUAUGCUCCCUUGUUGGUGCUUUUCUUAGUGACUCUUACUGGGGAAGAUUCAAAACAUGUGCCAUUUUUCAAGUCAUCUAUGUAACUGUAAGUAUCCAUUACCUCCUAUCAUACUUCUGUACAUAUUGAAAAACCAAUCAAGAAGAUUUAACAUUGACUACUACCAUCAUCCUGCACUAGCGCGAUUCCUGCUAAUUGUUAGUGUUGAUUGUAAUCAAAGGCUGAUGGAGCCUAUGUUUACUUGGUUAAACUAAACUCGGUAUUUCCGGAACUAUGUGUGUAUAUCUAUACAUAUAUUGAGAAAUACUAAAAUUUCAACAAAAAUUAAAUUCUGAACCCCAUGAUUUCAAAAGUACAAAGGGUCCAAUGCUAAGAACCUUAAAGGCGGAACCUAUCAAGUUUAAAUCUUGAAUUCGUCUCAGAUUGUAAUAGUCCUCGGUCUUGCUCUUACUAAGUUUGGAACAUCAUUGACAGGGAUUGGCAUUACUAGCACUAGCAUCACAACUCUACUUGCUCAAACCUAAAGGUUGUGGGGAUCGAAUGACUCUAUGUGGAGAACAUUCAACCAUGGGGAUUGGUCUAUUCUACAUUUCUGUGUACAUGAUUGCACUAGGAUAUGGAGGUUAUCAGCCAAAUAUUGCUACCUUCGGGGCCGAUCAGUUUGACGAGCAGCAUCCGAGGGAGUCUCAAUCUAAAGUUGCCUUCUUCAGCUACUUCUACUUGUUCAUGAAUCUCGGGUCGCUCUUCUCCAACACCAUUUUGGACUACUUUGAGGAUGAAGGAAUGUGGGCUCUUGGUUUUUGGGCAUCUGCAGCCUCGGCUUUUGCAGCAUUAAUGCUCUUUCUUGGAGGCACUGCAAGGUACAGACACUUCAAGUCUAGUGGCAAUCCUCUAACAAGGUUUGCUCAAGUUUUAGUUGCAGCAACAAAGAAGAGUAGAGUGGAAACACCAGAAAAUGAAGAUGACUUCUACCAAGGGGAAGACGACGACAACACAACUGGUGGUAGAAAAAUGCUACACACCCACGGUUUCAAGUAAGCAGAAAUACACUUAGGAGUUCAAUCCACUAUGUCUACAAAUAUCUCAAAUUUAUGACCUGACUCUGUCAUUCGUUUAUCAUUGAUGACUAGUCUAUUUGCCAUUCUAUAAUGCACUAAACUAGAUUUUUCAUGUUGCAGAUUCUUGGACAGAGCAGCUGUGGUGACAUCAAGGGAACUUGACGACCAGAAGCAGAGCGAUCACAACCCGUGGCGCCUCUGUCCUAUUUCACAAGUUGAGGAGGUUAAAUGCAUUUUGAGACUGCUGCCAAUUUGGCUAUGUACCAUUAUCUACUCUGUAGUUUUCACACAAAUGGCCUCGCUCUUUGUCGAGCAAGGCGAUGCCAUGAAAACUACGAUAGCAAACUUCAGGAUUCCAGCUGCAAGCAUGUCUACCUUUGACAUCCUUAGUGUAGCAGGCGUCAUAUUUCUCAACCGCAGAGUUCUUAAUCCACUAGUCAGUAGGUUUAAAAAGUGCAAGGGUGAUCAUACUGGGCUAACUGAACUUCAAAGGAUGGGUAUUGGACUAGUCAUAGCAGUGAUGGCUAUGCUUUCUGCAGGAAUUGUGGAGUGCUACAGGCUAAAGUAUGCUAGUAAUGACUGCAAAAACUGUGAAGGCUCAAGCUCUCUUAAUAUCUUCUGGCAAGUCCCUCAAUAUGCUUUUAUAGGAGCUUCAGAAGUAUUCAUGUAUGUAGGCCAAUUGGAAUUCUUCAAUGCACAAGCACCCGAUGGACUUAAAAGCUUUGGAAGUGCACUAUGCAUGACAUCGAUAUCAUUAGGGAACUAUGUGAGUAGCUUACUUGUGAGCGUAGUGAUGAAAAUAUCAGCAACUGACAACAUGCCGGGAUGGAUACCAGGAAACCUUAACAAAGGUCAUUUAGACAGAUUCUAUUUUCUAUUAGCUGGUUUGACAUUAAUAGAUUUGGUUGCCUAUAUUGCAUGUGCUAAGUGGUACAAGAAUAUUAAGCAUAGCGAAAAGAUUCAGGAACACGAGGAAGAUGACAAGUGUGAAGUCUAACAUACCUGAUAUGGAUCUUACUUUAGGGAUGUUUGCCAGAGACAUAUAAAUAAGAGGAAGAUAUGCUGUCACUGCAACAUUUUGUCUAGAUUUUCUGCUUGGUAUUUGGAUUUUCUUCCUCUCAACGCUCCAAACUCAGUCAACUCAAAAUACUCAGCUCUGCAGAAUUCUUCAGGGAGCUGAACUCCUCUUAAUGUCUAUGUCAUCCUUUCUCCUUGUUGCUGCAUUUGUUCGCUCUGUCAUAUUAGUUUUACAAUUGACAAGCAUAUUGGAUUGUAAAUGAAUUGGCUUUUCCUGUAACCAAGAAACUGUUGAACAAUAUUGAUGUACCCUAAAAGAUUUGUGUCUGAAAAGAUCUCUUUAUUUAACAUGCAAUUCAGAGCUAGAAAAGCCAGUAUCCACCUUAAUAAAAAAAAAUUGCAUGGUAUGUUUGGGUAAGAUGGACACAAAUACUAUAUCUGUAAAUCCUAUUGCCAACAAAGUGCAUAAAGAAAUUCUAUUUGAU
rnacentral:lncRNA from 1 species